AAGCCGGAUUAAUACCGCAUACGAUCUACGGAUGAAAGCGGGGGACCUUCGGGCCUCGCGCUAUAGGGUUGGCCGAUGGCUGAUUAGCUAGUUGGUGGGGUAAAGGCCUACCAAGGCGACGAUCAGUACCUGGUCUGAGAGGACGACCAGCCACACUGGGACUGAGACACGGCCCAGACUCCUACGGGAGGCAGCAGUGGGGAAUUUUGGACAAUGGGCGAAAGCCUGAUCCAUCAAUGCCGCGUGUGUGAAGAAGGCCUUCGGGUUGUAAAGCACUUUUGUCCGGAAAGAAAUCCUUGGCUCUAAUACAGUCGGGGGAUGACGGUACCGGAAGAAUAAGCACCGGCUAACUACGUGCCAGCAACCGCGGUAAUACGUAGGGUGGGAGCGUUACUCGGAAUUACUGGGCGUAAAGCGUGCGCACGCGGUUUGCUAAGACCGAUGUGAAAUCCCCGGGCUCAACCUGGGAACUGCAUUGGUGACUGGCAGGCUAGAGUAUGGCAGAGG
rnacentral:rRNA from 1 species